GUAGGGUGCGAGCGUUAAUCGGAAUUACUGGGCGUAAAGCGUGCGCAGGCGGUUAUGUAAGACAGAUGUGAAAUCCCCGGGCUCAACCUGGGAACUGCAUUUGUGACUGCAUGGCUAGAGUACGGUAGAGGGGGAUGGAAUUCCGCGUGUAGCAGUGAAAUGCGUAGAUAUGCGGAGGAACACCGAUGGCGAAGGCAAUCCCCUGGACCUGUACUGACGCUCAUGCACGAAAGCGUGGGGAGCAAACAGGAUUAGAUACCCUGGUAGUCCCACGCCCUAAACGAUGUCAACUGGUUGUUGGGAAUUAGUUUUCUCAGUAACGAAGCUAACGCGUGAAGUUGACCCGCCUGGGGAGUACGGCCGCAAGGUUG
rnacentral:rRNA from 1 species